rnacentral:rRNA from 1 species
AGUGAACGCUGGCGGUAGGCCUAACACAUGCAAGUCGAACGGCAGCACAGUAAGAUCUUGCUCUUACGGGUGGCGAGUGGCGGACGUGAGAGGAGUACAUCGGAAUCUACUUUUUCGGGUGGGAUAACGUAGCGAAACUUACGCUAAUACCGCAUACCACCUACGGUUGAAAGCAGGGGAUCUUCGCACCUGGCGCGAUUGAAUUAGCCGAUGUUGGAUUAGAUAGUUGGGGGGGUAAAGGCCCACCAAGUCGACGAUCCGUAGCUGGUCGGAGAGGAUGGUCGGCGACCCUGGAACUGAGACACGGACCAGGCUACUGCGGGAGGGAGCAGUCGGGAAUAGUAGGCAAUGGGGGCAAGCAUGAUACAGCCAUACCGCGUGUGUGAAGAAGGCCUUCGGGUUGUAAAGCCCUUUUGUUGGGAAAGAAAAGCAGCCGGUUAAUACGCAGCUGUUGUGACGGUACCCAGAGAAUAAGCACCGGCUAACUUCGUG